AUGAGUUGUUUUCAACUCACAAAGAAGAGGUCCCAGAACCUGAAAUCGAUUUCUUCUAAAUUCUGGUGGGGUGCAGCAAAUGGUGAAAGAAAGGUGCAUUGGAUCUCUUGGGACAAGAUGUGCUCUGCUAAGAGGGAGGGUGGGAUGGGGUUUAGGGACCCGGAGGCUUUUAACCAAGCGUUAUUAGCAAAACAAGCUUGGAGGAUAUUGCAGAACCCUUCCUCCUUGUGUGCAAGAGUUCUCAAGGCACGAUAUUUCAAGGAGUCAAUGAUGCUAGCUACGUGCCCGAGUGGAGCAUCUUUCACAUUUCGGAGCAUCUUACAUGGACGGGACCUGCUGCGGGAAGGGUUGGUGAGGGAGUUCCGGACUAGGGGGUGUCCGGAUAGCCGAACUAUCAUGAUCGUCCGGACUCCAAGACUAUGA
rnacentral:rRNA from 1 species